rnacentral:lncRNA from 1 species
GGUCUCCCGCCGGCCACACGCGUCCCUCCCCUCUGCUCGCAGAAUCAAGGUAAACGGCGCGGAGCCGAGCGGCGUCGGGCUCCCUGCGGUCACGCCGCCUCUGUUUAUCUCGGAGCACGCGGCCCGCGUCUUGAGGAGCCCUCUAAUUCAAUCGGCGUCCUCGUCGGACUGCACGAAUGAAUCAAGCGUCUGUUUACCCAACGCCGGUGCCCGUUUCACUGAUUAAUUCACAUGACGCCAAAAGCAAUGUUCUGCCCCGCUUGUCACGCCCCAGCCCCCGCUCCCACUUCCUCAUCGUUUCGGUCAUUUUUUUUUUUCUCAUCAUGCUUCAGCGGCAUCUCUUAAAACGUGAACCCAACGGAUAUCGAUAACUAUUAACCCUUGGAUGUCCCUGGAGAGACCGGCCUUCUUCAACCAACUUCUCCGCUGGCGCCGCGUGAACGACGUCGAAAAAUCCGAGGUCCGACGCCCUGAGAAGAAUGAAAAAGCAAACGUGCAAAUCCAGAAUUGUGUGUCGGUGGCGUGCCUCGCGAUGAAUGGAACCCUGGAUAAUCAAGGAGGCAAGCUGGGCACGUCGCGCAGCCCUUGA